UAUUUUACAGCUUUAUACUACUAGAAUUCACUAUUAAAUACUAAUAAUAAUAUUAAUCCCACAAAUCACUGAGACUAUUUUAAUUACUCUUUCCUGUUUACCAUAUGCAUUCAUUCUCAUAUCAUUCUAAAUAUUUUUAUUUAUUUUUUGGACAUAGGUAAUAGGGAAUAUUUGGAGUCCUUAAAAUUUACUCUGCGUUCAAACUCUCUACCGCCGGUCUCUCUCUCCUUGCUCCGCCGCUGCUCUCCGCAUUUCGGCAACGACGCACACAAUCGAACACUGCCGCCGCCGAUCUCCGCUUUUCUCCACCGCCGCACACAAUCAAACACCAAGCCUCCUCGUUCCCCCGCCGCUCUCCGCUUUUCUCCACCGCCGCAUACAAUCGAACACCAAGCCUCCUCGUUCCGCCGCCGCUCUCCGCUAUUCUCCACCGCCUGUUUCUCUCAAGCUCCAAGGUAUGGAUGAUACUAUAUCACAAGACUUUAUUCCUAAGAUAGGAAUGGAGUUUGCAACAGAAGUUGAGACAUAUGAUUUUUAUAUGAAAUAUGCUAAGGCAACAUGUUUUGGAACUCGAAAAAUAGCUGCUCAUAAGGAUCCAAUUACAGGAAACCUUUUGGACAUUAGUUUUUGUUGUUGUAGACAAGGUUUUAGAGCAAUAGACAAUCGAUGUGUUACAGUCAAGAGACCUCGUCCUGAAAUUAGGUGCGAAUGUAAGGCUAUGUUGAAAAUUUACGGUAGAUAAAAUGGAAAGUUUCGUAUUGUGAAAUUUGUUGAAGAACACAAUCAUGAUUUGUGUGAUCCGGAAAAAUCUUAGAUGUUUAGAUGUUUUCGGCAAAUGUCUAAUGUUCAACAAACUCAAGUUGAUGUUGCUCAAAGUUGUGAAUUGCCUCCAAAGAAAACUCUGGAUGUAAUGGCAAAAGAAUCCGGUGGAAUUCAACAUCUUGGUUUCACUCAUAUUGAUUUGAAGAAUUAUUUGAGAACUAAGAGAACUUUGGAGAUUAAACAAGGUGAUGCGAUAGUAGAGGUGUUUUACAAUACUCCCUCCGUCCCGCACUACUUGCACUUAUUUCCUUUCUGGGCGUCCCAAGUUAUUUGCACUCUUUCAAUUUUUAGUAACAAUUUAUACCUACAGCCGUAAUUGUUGACUUUGUCUAUCACUCAUUCCUUAAUCUCCGUGCCCAAAAGGAAAGGUGCGAGUAGUGCGGGACGGAGGGAGUAUUUACAAAGGAUGAUAAGUGAGGAUCCACACUUUUACUCUACAAUACAACUGGACGUGGAAGAUCUAAUUACCAAUAUAUUUUGGACCGAUGGUAAAAUGAUACAAGAUUUUGGUCAUUUUGAGGAUGUUUUUUUGCUUUGAUACUACCUUUAGAAAACAUCGUCAUGGUAGACCAAUUGCUCUGUUCGUCGGCGUAAAUCAUCAUAAACAAAAAGUUGUGUUUGGUGCAGCAUUAUUAUACGACGAAACAAUUGAAACCUUUGAGUGGUUGCUUAGUGCAUUUGAAGAUGCCAUGAUGGGAAAACGACCAAAAACUAUCUUAACAGAUCAGGACCAAGCAAUAAGCGUUGCUUUAGCUUCCAAGUGGCCAUCUACCUACCAUCGCUUGUGUGUUUGGCACAUUUUUCAGGAUGCAACAAUCCAUGUUUCAAGUGUUUUUUCGAGUUUUAAGAACACAUUUGCAGUUGGUUUUAGUCGUUGUGUGUACGACCUUGAAGAAGAAUCGGAAUUCCUUGAGGCAUGGAAUGAAAUGAUAGAGAAAUACAACUUGCAAGAUAAUCAGUGGUUGACAAGAAUGUUUUCUCUAAGAGAAAAAUGAGCAUUGGUAUAUGGAAGAAAUACGUUUUGCGCCGAUAUCAUUACAACUCAACGAAGUGGGUGCAUGAAUGCUGUUGUGAAACAUUAUGUAAAUUACAGAAACAACAUUGUUGAGGUGUUCCAUCAUUUUUCAAAGGUUGAUAGAUGAUCUACGCGAGAAAGAAGCUGCAGAAGAUUUCAAAAAUGCUCAAAGCUCCCCUGUCAUGACUUUUCCAUUAGAAACACUAAAGCAUGCAGCUGCCAUAUAUACACAUAAGAUAUUUGCAUUAUUUAGUGAGGAGUUGAGAAAGGCAUUUGAAAGCAAGAUCGAGAGUGAGAAUCAACUUGGAAGCUCAAGAAUAUAUAAGGUUCGACCACUUGAUCGGGCUAAUGAACAUAUUGUCACAUAUGAUUCCAUUGAAGUUUCCAUUUCUUGCAGCUGUAGAAAGUUUGAAUUCUCGGGUAUUUUAUGCUCACAUUGUUUAAGAGUCUUUACAUUAAUGAAUGUCAUUCAUAUACCCGAUGAAUAUAUCUUAAAGCGAUGGACCAAACAUGCUAAGAGUGGGAUGACGAGAGUUUGCAAGGAAGGAGUUGUCAUUGUUGAUGAAAAAACCCGAAAGAAACAGUGAUAUAGAGAGUUAUGUAAUUCAUUCAUACAAUUGACAGUCAAGGCAGCCGAGAGUGAAGAUAGUUAUGCUUAUGCCAUGGAAUGUCUCUUGAAAAUGGGAAACGACAUUGAUGGAAUGGUAGAGAAGGGAAUAAAUGUUACUGUUGAGGUAAAGAAGGUCGGAGAGUAAGAGACCGAAGAAUGCUUUGGAACAAGCUAUCAGUAAAACACGGAAACCAAAAGCAAUAAAGAGUGGUUUGGUACAUGCUUCUUCUACGCAGGAAUCUGAAGGGAUUGCACUCAUCAAUGAUGAGUACUGGAACUUAACGUACACUGCUUUUGAUCCUCAAAGUACAUCAUAAAUUUGGUGUAGACAGUGAUGCAAACUUGCUUGCAAUGAAGAAGGGCAAACUAUCUGGAUUAUUGUUUUGCUAUUUUCGAAUAUUUCAUGCACAAAACUAGAAUUUUAUUGAGCUUGAACUGGAAAAAAUUUGAUGAACUCAAUUAGUUUGUUGUGAAUAUUUUUAUACAUUAUGGUCAAUUUCAUGAUUUUAAUAUUUUUGCUUCUUGGUUGGAGCAUAUUUGAAAUUUUGUAGUUGCUGCUUUGUGAUAAAAUAAUCCAGAAAUAGUGAUUCUUUAACGGGAGUAAUUGAUUGUGUAGUGCAGUUCUUUUCAUAGACCGGAGUAUAUAUGUACUGGAGUAAUAUUGUGAUUGAAAGAAUUUGUAAGUAGCAGUGAAGCAGUGUCUUUAGCAACUUUGAUUGUGUAGUGAAUAUGUACUGGAGUAUAUAUGUAAGGAAUUUGGUAGUGGCAGUGAAUUGAUUCUGUAGUGUAGUUCUUUUCGUAGCUCUUUUCAGAAAUUAGCGACUUCAGAAAUUAGUUUCGUAAUUAGUUUUCUGAAACUUUAGCAGAGAGAGAGAACCAGCUUCUCGUUAGUGAAGACAUUGAAGAGAAUUUUUUUUGAGUGUAAAUCUGAUUUUCUGGAGAUAUUUAGUCAAAUCUCUUUAUUUGUAAAGAAGAUCAUGUGUCUAUUUUUAUUAGUGUAUUAGGAGAUGUUUUAGGAUAGUUAGAAUGCUUACCGUGAUCUGAUUCAUUCUGAUUCUUACCACGAUUUAUCCCAUGAUUCAUCCCACGGUGAUCCUUACCGUGAUCCAAUUAAUUCUGCUUGUUUUGUCUUGAUUGGAAAAUGUGGAAUGCGUUCUCUCUCCUAUGCAGGAGGUAUAUACAGUUAGGGAUUCAAUCACAGUAAUAUGGUAUUACUUUGAUUGUUCAGUCUAAUCUUCUGAAAUAGGUAUAUCAUUAUAAGAUGCAAUAUCAGUCCAUUUCAGUUUGAAAUACAGCUGACAUUUGUAGUUUGUUGGGAAAGGAUUGGCUUAUUUCAUGGAUAGGGAUGAAUUUAACUACCUUUAUUAUUAACGUUUGGCAUUGGCUUAUUUCAUGGAUACGGAUGAAUUUAACUACCUUUAUUAUUAACAUUUGGCAUUGGCUUAUUUCAUGGACAGGGAUGAAUUUAGCUACCACACAGCCCCAGACGCAACAAAUAGCUCAAAAUCUGGACUGCAACGAAUAGCUCAUAAUCUGGAAUGCAUUUUUAGCUCUUUUCAUCAUCAUUUCGUUACUCUAUUUCAAUUUCGAAGAUCUUGGGCUAUGUUGAUUUGGAACACUUGUAGGUCUAUCUGGCAGCUACCGAGCAUCGUACAUUGUAAGUUUCCUUUCCAUGGCACUUAUUUGUUCUCUUUAUUUAUAGAUUUCGACUUUUACUGUUAUUUUUUUAUUUUUGGCUGUAUUUGUUCCCUAAGUUGAUUUGUGUGGUUUUAGAUAUUUCAGAAUGAUGAAUUUAUUUCUAAAUUUUGCUGGUUGUUUUGUGUUGCCGUCUAGAAGUAAGUAUUAGUUUUCAUUAUCAUCAUUUUAUUAUUAUUGAACACAUUUUUUUCUUCUUUUGCAUGAAUUUUGAUCUUUUAUUGCAGAUAUGCACAGAAGAAAACCAUAUUAUCUGUUGAAGACAUCAUUUCUUUGAUUGGUAAUAAGUGUGAUGGAGUUUUUGGACAGGUAAACUUCACACACACACACACAGAGCUGUUUUUGGAGAUGAUUUGGACUGUUUUUUUUUCCGUUGACUGAUGAUUUGAAAAAUAUGCAAGAAUAAGUAUGUUGGUGGUGGUGAAUUAGGGAGUGCUGACAGAGACUACAGCAGAAUUAGCAGCUUCACUCUCUUUAGCUGCAGCCAGAAGAAUUGUGGAGGGUGAAGAAUUCAUGAGGGGUGGCUUGUAUGAUGGAUGGCUUCCUGUUAAGGAUAUUGAUCCUCAACGUCGAAUUUUCCACACAAUCAAGAAACGGUUGUCGUCGUUGUCGAGCGCCCAACGUUUGGGUCGGCGACUUGAACGGCAAAAGGGGCGGCUGAGCGCGAGAUCAGUCUCAUCGGCAGCCUUAUGAGAGGGUUGAAGAUGUACUUGAUCUACUUUGAUCUCUACCGGUCCACUCGUCUGGUGAAGUUCGUUACUGCCUAUGGGGACUUCCUCAAGGCGGAUGGAGAGGCGACGACUUAUCUGGUGAAUAAGUAGAGGCUGGCAAAGAUGAAGGCGAGGUGCAAUGGUGCGAGAGAAAGCGGAUACGAGGGCAAUAGUUAGGGAACAACCUAUGGAAGAACGAAUGAUGCAUCUCUUUAAUGGAAAAUUCAGACAAAUGACAAAUGUAUAGUUUAGUUUAAUUUUGUAGAACAACCUAUCUUAUUCAGUAACCUAUUCUUUGUUAGGUAUA